UACAGAGAAGGCAAGCGUUAUUCGGAAUUAUUGGACGUAAAGGGCGCGUAGGCGGCUUUGCAAGUGACGGGUGAAAUCCCUCAGCUUAACCGAGGAACUGCCUGUCAAACUGCAUAGCUUGAGACCAGGAGAGGUGAGUGGAAUUCCCAGUGUAGCGGUGAAAUGCGUUGAUAUUGGAAGGAACGCCGGAGGCGAAAGCGGCGCACUGGAUCUCUUCUGACGCUGAGGCGCGAAAGCUAGGGGAGCAAACGGG
rnacentral:rRNA from 1 species